GAUGAACGCUGGCGGCGUGCCUAAUACAUGCAAGUCGAGCGAAUGGAUUAAGAGCUUGCUCUUAUGAAGUUAGCGGCGGACGGGUGAGUAACACGUGGGUAACCUGCCCAUAAGACUGGGAUAACUCCGGGAAACCGGGGCUAAUACCGGAUAACAUUUUGAACCGCAUGGUUCGAAAUUGAAAGGCGGCUUCGGCUGUCACUUAUGGAUGGACCCGCGUCGCAUUAGCUAGUUGGUGAGGUAACGGCUCACCAAGGCAACGAUGCGUAGCCGACCGGAGAGGGUGAUCGGCCACACUGGGACUGAGACACGGCCCAGACUCCUACGGGAGGCAGCAGUAGGGAAUCUUCCGCAAUGGACGAAAGUCUGACGGAGCAACGCCGCGUGAGUGAUGAAGGCUUUCGGGUCGUAAAACUCUGAUGUUAGGGAAGAUCAAGUGCUAGUUGAAUAAGCUGGCACCUUGACGGUACCUAACCAGAAAGCCACGGCUAACUACGUGCCAGCAGCCGCAGUAA
rnacentral:rRNA from 1 species